rnacentral:rRNA from 1 species
GUCCUCAUGUUUUUAUUUGAGGUUUGGCCUGCCCGGUGAUUUUAAUUUAACGGCCGCGGUAUAUUGACCGUGCAAAGGUAGCAUAAUCAUUAGUCUUUUAAUAGGAGGCUGGAAUGAAAGGUUUAACGAAAAAUUAGCUGUCUCAAUUAUAAAUUUGAAUUUAACUUUUAAGUUAAAAGGCUUAAAUUUUUUUGUAGGACGAGAAGACCCUAUAGAGCUUUACAUUUAAUAUUUUGUUAUAUUGAUUUAGAUUAAUACUUUUAAUUAACUUUAAAAAAUGUUUUGUUGGGGUGACAAGAAAUAUAUAUUUAACUUUUAUUAUUAUAUUUGCAUUAAUUUAUGGUUAUUGGAUCCAAAAUUUUUGAUCAUUAGAAUAAGUUACCUUAGGGAUAACAGCGUAAUCUUCCCUCAGAGUUCAAAUUUACGGGAAGGCUUGCGACCUCGAUGUUGGAUUAAGAUAACAAUUGGGUGCAGUAGCUCAAUUUGUAGGUCUGUUCGACCUUUAAAUUCUU